UACGAAGGGGACUAGCGUUGUUCGGAAUCACUGGGCGUAAAGCGCACGUAGGCGGAUGUGUCAGUCAGGGGUGAAGUCCCGGGGCUCAACCUCGGAACUGCCUUUGAUACAGCACGUCUCGAGUCCGGAAGAGGUGGGUGGAAUUCCUAGUGUAGAGGUGAAAUUCGUAGAUAUUAGGAAGAACACGGUGGCGAAGGCGGCCCACUG
rnacentral:rRNA from 1 species